GAUGAACGCUGGCGGUCUGCUUAACACAUGCAAGUCGAACGGAACCUUUCGGGGUUUAGUGGCGGACGGGUGAGUAACGCGUGAGAAUCUGGCUUCAGGUUCGGGACAACAGUUGGAAACGGCUGCUAAUACCGGAUGUGCCGAGAGGUGAAAGCUUCAGUGCCUGGAGAUGAGCUCGCGUCUGAUUAGCUAGUAGGAGUGGUAACGGCACCCCUAGGCGACGAUCAGUAGCUGGUCUGAGAGGAUGAUCAGCCACACUGGGACUGAGACACGGCCCAGACUCCUACGGGAGGCAGCAGUGGGGAAUUUUCCGCAAUGGGCGCAAGCCUGACGGAGCAAGACCGCGUGAGGGACGAAGGUCUGUGGAUUGUAAACCUCUUUUGACAGGGAAGAAGAACGUGACGGUACCUGUCGAAUCAGCCUCGGCUAACUCCGUGCCAGCAGCCGCGGUAAUACGGAGGAGGCAAGCGUUAUCCGGAAUUAUUGGGCGUAAAGCGUCCGUAGGUGGGUGACCAAGUCAGUUGUUAAAACGUGAAGCUUAACUUCAUAGAGGCGACUGAAACUGGUAGUCUAGAGAGUGGUAGGGGUAGAGGGAAUUUCCAGUGUAGCGGUGAAAUGCGUAGAUAUUGGAAAGAACACCGGUGGCGAAAGCGCUCUACUGGGCCAUUACUGACACUGAGGGACGAAAGCUAGGGGAGCGAAAGGGAUUAGAUACCCCUGUAGUCCUGGCCGUAAACGAUGGACACUAGGUGUU
rnacentral:rRNA from 1 species